GGCGACUUAGCCAAGCGGUCUAAGGCGCCAGACUAAGGUUAUGUAAUUAUCACGUAAUAAUCUGGUUCUUCGGAGCGUGGGUUCGAAUCCCACAGUCGUCA